GACGGAGGAUGCAAGUGUUAUCCGGAAUCACUGGGCGUAAAGCGUCUGUAGGUGGUUUAUUAAGUCAACUGUUAAAUCUUGAGGCUCAACCUCAAAAUCGCAGUCGAAACUAUUAGGCUAGAGUAUAGUAGGGGUAAAGGGAAUUUCCAGUGGAGCGGUGAAAUGCGUAGAGAUUGGAAAGAACACCGAUGGCGAAGGCACUUUACUGGGCUAUUACUAACACUCAGAGACGAAAGCUAGGGUAGCAAAUGGG
rnacentral:rRNA from 1 species